GAUGAACGCUGGCGGCGUGCCUAAUACAUGCAAGUCGAGCGAACAGAUGAGGAGCUUGCUCCUCUGACGUUAGCGGCGGACGGGUGAGUAACACGUGGAUAACCUACCUAUAAGACUGGGAUAACUUCGGGAAACCGGAGCUAAUACCGGAUAAUAUAUUGAACCGCAUGGUUCAAUAGUGAAAGACGGUUUUGCUGUCACUUAUAGAUGGAUCCGCGCCGCAUUAGCUAGUUGGUAAGGUAACGGCUUACCAAGGCAACGAUGCGUAGCCGACCUGGGAGGUGGUGCGGCCACACUGGGACUGGGAGACGGUCCAGACUCGGACGGGAAGCAGCAGUAGGGAAUCUUCCGCAAUGGGCGAAAGCCUGACGGAGCAACGCCGCAUGGGUGAUGAAGGUCUUCGGAUCGUAAAACUCUGUUAUUAGGGAAGAACAAAUGUGUAAGUAACUAUGCACGUCUUGACGGUACCUAAUCAGAAAGCCACGGCUAACUACGUG
rnacentral:rRNA from 1 species